AGUGCUUCCUUCUCAGAGUUGUUUCUCAAGAAUAGAAUAGUACGCAGAAAAGCACGUAAAAGGUACCCAGUUGAUGUUUGAGCAGAAAGGGUGCUCAGAAAAUGACAACUAAGUAGGCUGUUCACCUCUUAUAUGCGGGGAGUGGGGAUCCGUGUAUGUGUGUGUGCAUGAUGUGUCAUUCACUAGAUAGGGAAGGAAAGCAGCGUUCGCCUCGCAUCUGAAAGAUUUGCAUCCACUCCUAUUUGAAGACACGCCUGGGAACAGCCUGAGUUGGCUGGCUUUACAGAUGCUCUUGAGGCAUAAUCACAGGUGGCCUGAAAUGCAGGGGAGGGAGGCUGCCCCUGGCCCACCUAAAUUGCACCCCUGCUCAGCUGGGUCAAAGGCAGGGUUUGGAGGUGAAGAAAUGCCACCCCCUCCUAUCAGCUUGAAUCCGUUUAAAACAAAUCCUGCAAAUAAAAAAAAAAAAAGGUAAAAGUCAUUCUGGAAAGCAGUUCUAUAAUUUUCAUUCCUAUUUUUUAACCACCGGUGUUUUCCCCUUGCAGAAGGAAACUUUACAAAUAAAUUGGCUACAGAAGCAACCCUCUGUGCAAAUUACAAGGGAUAAAGGAAAGAGGAAGGCAAGAGCUGCAGCAGGACUGUACAAAGAAAGGCAGAAAGGAGCACGGGAGAUGGUUCAUUGAGCAGGAUUUAUAGCAAUGAUACUUCUGUCCAAGGAAGAAAAAUCUACAAAGAAAAAUUGAGACAAUAAAGAUUUAAUAACUGCCUUCCAUGCAUAUUCUCCAGUUGGUGUCUGAAGAAGUACAAAGAGAGGCUUAGUCCUGGAGAUCUUGUUCUGUAUUGUUUGGAGAAUUGUUUUAUUGUCUGCAUGUGCUGUAUUGUUUGGGGAAUUGGAUUGUUGAAUACACAGUGGCUGCAGCUUGUAUCUUUUGAAUAUGUUUAUAUCAAUAUGAGUUUUAAUUGGGUCCCUGUGACUUGGUAUCUUUGUUACCUUAUACUGAGUCAGACCAUACACGCCCAGUAUUGUAGCCCCUGGAAAUAUUGGUGAUUCAACCUGGGGUCUUCCUCAAGCAAGGCAGAUGCUAUAAUUCUGAGUAGCGGUUCAUUGUGGACUUGAUGCUGCACAUUAUGCAAGUUCUUCUUUGAACGUGUGUGGAUUAAGUUACUGCCUAUCAUAUAAUCUAUUUACUUAUUUAGUUUACAUUUACAUCCCACCUUUCUCUGGCCCAAGAGCUAGCUUAGGCAUUAAAAAAAACUGUGGGGAACUGCAGUCAAACAUAACUAUGCAUAAGUGCUAGUUAGUGCAUAAAGGGGUUAAGACCAUAGAACUCUGUUCCUAGACUCAGCUAGGUCACAUCCUCUCUUCUUCGUGAGGAAAUGAAUCUUCUCUUCCUGUUCCUCACACACUCUUUCUUCUUGCCAUGAAAUCCACUAGGCCGGUUGUGUCUGAACAGGAUCCAAGUUCAGACUGCAGGUUUGAAACUAUGUGCUGCAUUUUGUACCCUGUGAUCUCCUUGCUGCUGCAUGGAUUAGCGCAUUAACCAGACAUUUGGAUUUAGGCAUGGGCAGAAACAAGCAUGUGAUGUGUCCAUGUGGAAGACUGUCUUGAGUGAAGAUGCAGAGAAAUCAGACUCCAUGUCCCUCCAACGGUACUAUCUGAGGGGAGGAAAGGCAGAUAGAAGGUCUGUGCCAUGGGAAGACCUGAAGCAGGAACACUCAAGUACUGUACUCAGACAAAAUGGCAGUGUUCACACAACCCUAUUCUUCCAUUCUGUCUCCAUGUAAACUUACACCAGAUGUUAAUUAGGAAUAGAUCUGUAUGACACAUUUUUCAUCCCCAACACAGACUUGUUUCCUACUUAAUAUUGUUAAAGUUUUUUUUAAAAAAGCAACAAC